rnacentral:lncRNA from 1 species
CUGGAGUGUCUCCUGGGAAAGGGAGGAACCCUGACACUUCAUUUCCUCUCUGCCUAGCUCGACGCUGGGGUUAUAAGGUGCACACUGAAGAAUGAAAAGCACACAAAGCCGAGGAUCCAGGGUGCGGUUUCCACUUCCACAACCCAGACGUUUUGCAAGGUCGUUUUCAAACCAAGCUUCCAUGGACAGCAGCGGGGAUGGCCUGAAUUCCGCAGCCACGCUGGCUCCAAGGACGUUGGAAAGGAGGCGUUGAACAGUUGACCCUCCAUGCCUUUAAUCUUCCCCGCCGGCUGGGAAAAGGAAGGGCGAGGCCAGAAAUGUGGGGCUGAAGGAAAUACGGCGCCCGGGCCCCACAGGGAGAAGUGCACAGCGGGACCGAGAACCUGUCUGACCCCCUCAGGCCGCCGUAGCCGCUGACAAACAAAGACCGGAAGUAGGGUCGGCGGCCGCAGCUGAGGCGUCUCUUCUAGGACCUCGGAGGUUCUGCAUCUCGAUGGUUCCCUAGGUUCAAGGACUCCAACUCCCCAGGUGUGUGUGUCCCACCCCAGGAGCAGAAAAAUGGAUCAAAAGAAAAUGGAAUUAAACAGCUCACGUGUGUAUAAAGAACGCCACUUAAAAUGUAUCUAGGUCUAAGUUUCAGCUAACUGGUUGGAGCACGUGUGAUUAUCAUGCUGCUCCUGGCAGAAGAAAAGGAAACAGGCUUGGAGCAAUUUCUCCCUUGCCUAGGGUCUCUCAGUGACACAGCUGGGCCAGAAACUAGGACUUGUGCCACCAUGGCCUGUACCUUUCCAUUGCCCUGGCUGUCUGUCAUCAGAAAUGAACACUAAUAAAAUCUAAGCUAAUGUUUUCAAAAUGUUCAAAGCUGACAAAAUGGAUUGUGAAAGAAUUCAGAGACCAUGAACACAGGUCCUGUAGGGUGGUUAGUAUAACAAAGCAAACGAAGCAACAAAAAUGACAGGUGUUGGUGAGUAUAUGGACUAUUUGGAACCCUUGUAUAUUGCUAUGAAACCCCUGUGUAAAUCAGUAUGGUGCUUCAAAAAAAAAAAAAGUUGAAAAUAGAGUUACCUCGUGAUUCUCCAGUUCCACUUCCGGGCAUCAAAGAAUUGAAAAUGAGGACUUGAACAGAUAUUUAUAUACCCUUAUUUAUAGCAGCACUCUUCACAGUAGUCAAAGAUGGAAGCAAACCAAGUGUUCACCAACUGAGAAUGGAUGAACAAAAUGUCUAUAUAUUUAGCCUUAAAAGGAAGGUCACCUGCCCAGAGCUGCAACAUGGAUGAACUUGGAGGACAUUAUGCUGACUGAAACAAGCCAUUUGUAAAAAGAGAGUUUGUAUGAUUUCACUUACAUGUGUACCUAGAAUAGACAAAUUCUCUGGACAAAGUAAAAUGGUGGUACCAGAGGCUGGGGAAAGUAAGGAGUGGAGAGUUAAUGUCAUAAUCAGGGCAAUGGCUCUUUCUAGGAGGGAAUAUAAUUGCUAGGGGAAGAAGGAUUAGAUAUGACUCCCUGACUUGGUGAACACAGCCUUCAUUAUGGAAAAGCAGUGGUGAACACUUAGGUAACGCUCACAAUGUACAGCUAUGGAGAAGCAGCAAUAAUUCUAAGGUCCAGGAUUUGGUUUUACUCUAAAAGUCAUCUUUAGUUUAAAAUUUUAAUCCUGCUCUUUCCAACAGGGUGUUAGCCAGUGGAUGGCACCUGAAGUAUGCAAUUCAAGUGGAGAUGUGUCUUAAUGUAAAUCAUACCCUGUAUUUUGAAGACUUAGUGCUAAAAAAGUAUAAUAUAUCAUUAAUAAUUUAAAAAUAUUGAUUAUGUUUGCAGAGCAAGGCAAUUUGUGGACCAAAGCAGCUGUGGGUGUCCUUGAGUCACAAAUUAUAGUAGCAGACAUGAGUUUAUUAGAAGAGAUAGGAAAGGGGAAAAUGGAAAAAGAGAACACUCUCAAGGGAGAAAGUGGGUCCUCUCAGUGAAGAGAGGGAUGACACAUUCCUUAUGCCCUCCUGUUUUGUUGGGAGUCCCAGUGAAUUUUCCAGAGCUCUGCCCAGGUCCACCUCUUGAUUUUUGACUGCUAGCAGGAUUGCAUCAAACUUCCAACUCCCUAUGGGGGAAGAUUUUGCCUCUGUAAUGACAUGCUAAAGAUCUAAGGCAACUCUGAGUCAGCUUGUCCCAAUUUGACCAGUUCUAAUUGGAACUUGUUCUUACAGAUUUUAUAGUUGAGGGGUUUUGCUUCUGAUUAUCCUGUCUCCUUGAGUCCUGGAAUCUAGUCUGUGUAAAGGUCACAAAAGUUCCCUCUCUUCAGGGUAAUGCGUGUUCUUUUAGUGUGUAGGGCAGAGUCUUUUGGGGCUUGCAUUCCUGCAGAUAACAGGUUGUUUGCUGAGGAAUGUAGCAUAUCCUACUGACUUAAGUCAGGCAGAACCAGAGUGGCUUCAGGCAAAUUGCUCUUGAAGUUAAAUAAAACAUGAAAGUUAAUUUCAAAAAAAAAAAAAAAAAAAAAGAAAGUUAAUUUCACUUGUUUCUUCUCUUUAAAAUAUGGCUACUAGAAAAUAAAAAAAGCCAUGUAUUUGCAUUCUAUUUCUUUGAGAUCACAUCAUCUUAGUUGUUUUGGUUCUUAUCAUGGGCUAAUCAGACUGACAAUCAGCAUCACAAGGAACCCUGCACACUUAUUGAUGCCAGACAGUAUAUGUGCAGUAUCAUUUUUGACUUAUAAAACAUCCUUAGGGCUGGGGUUGUGGCUCAAUGGUAGUGUGUUUGCCUAGCAUGCAUGACACACUGGGUUUGAUUCUCAGCACCACAUACAAAUAAAUUUUAAAAAAGGGUCUAUCAACAACUACGAAAUAUUAAAAAAAUCCUUAGAAGGUAAAUAGUAAUAUGACUACCCAGUUUUACAGGUGAGGAAACUGAGGCACAUGAGCUUGAUAAAUAACUUGCCUGUGUUCACACAGGGACAGGAAAAGCCAGGUGCAGCUCUGGAGUUGACUAAUUCUAGACUAGUUUGUGCUUUUAGUCACUACAUCAAAACCUUCAGACAGGUUUUCAGGAACCAAAGCCAUAGAGCCUUGUUUGGAAACUAGAACACCAGUUUCAUUACUUUUGCAGUUCUGGGGCUUAAACCCAGGGGCUUGUGUCUGUUAGACAAUGGAUCUACCACUGAGCUAAAACCCCAGUCCCCGGUUUUAUUAGAUAUUCCCUAGAGAAUGUUUCCUAGCAAAUGAAGGUCCUUUGUUAAAUUGGGAGUUCUAGUCAGAAAACUAAAUUCAAGCUGGAAAUUUUGCUUAGUUAGAAAUGGACUUUUGAGACUGAGGAAAUAGCUGACUUAAAGGUUUAUUUUAUACCAGCGUACUUUAGAAGUUGAUCCCUCAUGUUCUCACAUGUUGGGGCUUUGUAAAGCUGGGUUAGUUUGUAAAAGUAUUUGGGUCUUGUAGCCAACUCUGGAUUAAUCCAUGUGCUGCUGUCAUAUAGAUUUGGCUGUUAACAUUUUUCCUCAUCCCAAUAAGGGCACUGUAUUACUUUGAGUCCUAUGAGAAGGAGAGAGCAGUGCAAGAGACAUAUUGGGGGAAAUAUCUGUGAAGGGAGCCAGGGUAAAUGUAGUAGGAGCCAGAGGCUGACUUGCAGCUCUUCUGGGUGCAGAAGAGAGCAAGAGCCUGAGGAUUCAGUUAGGGGCAGUCAAUGUGGGACCCAGGCCAAGACUGCCCAUGCAGGGUCCUGUAGAAAGGAAGGGGCCCUGGUCCCCACCAUGCUGUCAUGCUGGGGGCAACUGAGACAGGGAGGUAUGGGUCCCCCAGAUGCUGCAGGGGAGGCUAUCUCUCACCAGGUCCUCACCACAGACCCAUAUUUUUGAGGAGAAGUCUGGGAAGCCCACUCCCAUUAUGUUUAAGUCAGCUGUUUUCGCUGCUGCAACCAAAAGACCUGUCAAAAACAGUUGGAGGAGAAUUGGUAACUUCUCUUAUCUUAGAAAUAUAAACAUCUCUGUGAAGCCCCAGUCAAGGUCAGAGGCCUUGUUUACACAUUUCUACAAACUACUAUACUGGAUACAUGUUUGUGAAAAACUAGUAAGUGGGUGUCCAGCAUCUGGAGUGCUGAUUUCUUCUUGGUCUGUGGCCAAGUAAGAUAGGGCAACACGAAAAUUGGAAGUUUAUCUACAUUGAACUCUUUUGUAGAGACUCUUUUGCCGACAGUCCUAAAAUCAGCCAUGGUGAAGAUUUCUGGAGAAGCCCAGUUAAGACUUAUGUGUGGAGAAAGGGAGGUGCCACUACCGGAGAAGUUACCAACUGGGCUCCAUGGUAACAGGUGGAAAGGGGAGGAAAGAAAGGGGAGAAGGAGCUCUCUCCUUCUCAGGUGCUGUCCUUGAAGAGUUAACUUGCCCAGAACAGUGAAAGAAAAACUGCUUUUAUGUGAACUUCUGCAGACUGUGAACUUCAGAGCCCCUCCCCUUACAUGCUGGGUAUAAAGUCCUGAAACUACCUAAACUCGAGGUUCAGGGGAUUAAUUGAUUAUAGCAAAAGCUGUACCCUAUUAAUCUGGCUGCAGCCAAAUAAAACUGUUUCCUGCUA